AACGAACGCUGGCGGCGUGCUUAACACAUGCAAGUCGAACGAGAAAGCUCUUCGGAGUGAGUAGAGUGGCGCACGGGUGAGUAACACGUAGAUAACCUACCCUUUUGUGGGGGAUAACUCAGAGAAAUUUGGGCUAAUACCGCAUAAGUUAGUAAUAAGAAAGGAUGCUUCGGCAUUCGCAGAAGGAUGGGUCUGCGGGACAUUAGCUUGAUGGUGGGGUAAUGGCCUACCAUGGCGACGAUGUCUAGCUGGUCUGAGAGGAUGAUCAGCCACACUGGAACUGAGACACGGUCCAG
rnacentral:rRNA from 1 species